rnacentral:lncRNA from 1 species
CUCAGAUCUCCUGGCUCCACAAACCACAUCAAACCACCUUCUGUCUGAGCCUACUGGAGUUCAUUAAGCUAAAGGAUUACACUAAGAAGGGAAGGGAAGAAGCUGAAGGAUGGGAUUGACCUGGCUGACUGAGGAGCACAGACCCUGUUGGAGUGAAGAAUUUUGUCUGAGCUUUGCCUUUGUAAUGAGGCCAUCUUCAUGGUGACCCCAGGCUGGAGAGGCCACCCUAGGGCAUCCCUGCCUUGCCUGUUCUUCUUGGUCUUAAGAAACCAACUCUCUUUGGGAGGCCGAGAUGAGGAUGAGGAAGACAAUUGCUGAAUUGGGACUGGCUGAAUCUACUUAUGAUUUCAUCAGUCAGUGUUUACAAGUGUGCAGGUUAAACCUAGGAUGACUGAACAGAAAGCAGACUUAGCAAGAGGUUCCCUCUAGCUUUCAUCAAGUACUCAGAGGGAUCCAUGACCUCAAAGGUUAAGAACCACUGAAAGAGCAGGAUUUAAGGUAAAAGUAGCUCUCUUGGGUCAGACAGCUGUGCCCAAGGCGAAUUAUUGCUCUUCUGGACUCUGAAGGGCCCAGUUUGACAC